GACGAACGCUGGCGGCGUGCUUAAUACAUGCAAGUCGAACGGAAGGGCCCUGCUUUUGCUGCUUUCUCGUUUGGCGAACGGGUGAGUAACACGUGAGUAACCUGCCCUUGACUGUGGGAUAACUUCUGGAAACUGGGGCGAUUAUCCGAUAGGAUCUCCUGCUGCACGUGGGUCGUUGGUAAAUUUCGGCCGUUCGGGAUGGACUCGCGGCUUAUGCGCUGCUUGGUGGGGUAGGUGCUUACCAAGGCUUUGACGGGUAGGCGGCAUGGGAGGGUUGCCGGGCACAUGGGUACUGAGAGACGGAGCAGAAUGGUACGGGACGCAGCGGUGGGGAAUAUUACACAACGGGCGGAAGCCUGAUACAGCAACGCUGGGUGCGGGAAAACGGCCUUCGGGUUGUAAACCGAUUUGGCAUGUGACGAAGCGUGAGUGACGGUAAUGGGUAAAAAAGCACCGGCUAACUACGUG
rnacentral:rRNA from 1 species